UCCCUGGUGGUCUAGUGGUUAGGAUUUGGCACUUUUACUGCGGCAGUCCAGGUUCAAUCCUGGCCUGGGAA
rnacentral:tRNA from 1 species